AAAAAAAAAAAAAAAAAAAAGGGACAAAACUUUAAGGCUGCGUUCGGAAGCGACCACGUUAUUUCUUUUUUCCAACGGUGUUAUAAGAUUGGCGGUGAAGCUAUAAACCGAAUUCGUAAAGAGAAAGAAACAAGAAAUCAGCGGAUGGCAAUGGCGAGGCGAGCUGGGAGCAGGAGCAAGAACGAGUCAGCAAUCACUAGAGGCGUCAACAAGGUUUUCGGAUUCGUCAGAGCGGCCGAAUUUGAGAUCCUCUGCGUUCUCUUCAUUAUCAUCGCCUUUGUCAUCUUCAAAGAUCUGGCAGUAUUGGUAGUUUGGUAUGUUAUCUGUGGUUGAAUUCAACUAUAUCCAUUCUCCAAAGCACAAAUUUUGAAGAGCUGAGUAGGGAGAAUUCCCAAAGUAUAAGAUGAGAGGAGAGCUAUGGAUGAAGAUUCAGAGCGUACUUUCAAACAAACUCUGGAGGAAACUGGAGCCUGGAGAUCACAUCUACACAUGGAAGGGAGGCAAUACAAAAUCUUAUCAUGGGAUAUAUAUUUUCGAUGAGAAGGUGAUCCACUUUGAUUGUCAUGGUGUGGCCUUUUCAUCCAUAGAAGAUUUUCUUUCUUGUGGAGAUGUCUAUCUCUUUGAAUAUGGUGUCAAUCCAGCUCUCUUCCUCACCAAAUUCCAGGAACAUACUUCCACCCUUGCCUUUGCCGAUCCACCUCAAGUUGUUCAGGACUGUACGGCCUUCCUUCUCAACUAUGGCGCCUCCAGUGACUAUUACCACUUCAUAAACAACGAUGAAGACUUUGCAAUGUAUUGCAAAACAGGAUUGCUAGUAGUAGACAGCAUUGUUUUCAGUAGAAGUUGGCAAACAGCAUUUUUCUUGGCUGUUACUACUGCUGUCUUUCUUUCCCUACUGCAACUUGCCCCUGCUACUUUAACUGGUCUGGCAGCUAGAUGUCUCGGCGUUUACUAUGUUUGUAGAUUGGUUUCUGAUAUCGGAGCUUGUCCUAAUGUUAUCAAAAUUGAAGCAGAGAGAUUGCCAGUGGUUGAUGAGAUAUUGGCUUCUGGUGGUUUGGGCCGUAUUGAAUUCUUAAUUGACCUGUUUUUAAGAAUACUAAUGUGUGCUUUUGCCUUUUUUUGUUUGCUAUUAAGUUUGUGGUCUUAGACUCUUCCAGUGCUCUGGACUCUAGCAUGCUUCAUACUUUUCUACUGGGCAGUAUUUGGAAAAAGGCUGCUUUCUAAUAAGAUAAAUAAGAAGCAAAUGAAGCCUAAGGAUCACAUCCUCGCAUGGAGGCGGAACUGAAGGGAUAUAUGUGGGUGAUGGAGAGGUGAUUCACCUCGAUCGCGGAGAAGACCCUAUUGGUGGUGGUGGUCCAUCAAUGGAAUGUCGUGUAGAGUCUUGCAGCAUAAAUAGUUUUCUUGAUGGAGGGGAAUUGUAUCUGUAUAAAUAUGGUGUUAAUCUUGCUUUCUUUAUAGCCAAAACUCAAGGAGGUACCUGUACCCUUGCCUCUACCAGUCCAACAGAAGAUGUCCUGCACCGUGCUCAUUUCCUCGGAAAGCAUGAUGGUUUUGGUGCCUACAAACUUUUCAACAACUGUGAAGACAUUGCAAUAUAUUGCAAAACUGGCUUGCUGGCAAGGAAUGUCAUUGAUCUUGGCACGAACGGGCAGAUAGCAACCCCAUUUGCUGUUAUUUAUGCAAUCCUUCUUUUUCCACGAGGAUUCCCAGCUAGUAAUUUUAUUGUUGUGUCAGCCAUGUGUUAUGUUAUAUACUCCAUCUUGCGAUUUAUUUAUGAUGCCAAAUAUUGUGGGAAUGCUUGUAAAGUUUCUGUUGAGAGAUUGGCCGCACUUUGGAGAGUUGGUAACUUUUGUGAUAGUUGUAUUGAUUCGUUUUGGAAGGAGAUAGAUUUAUAGAUUUUGAGGUUUUGAGUGAGGAUUAAGAUAAGUAAAUGCGUAGCUAAAUUUAUGAUUUACAAGAUUGACAACGGUUAUUGGUUGAGUUCUUAAUUAAUGAAAGAUCAUUGAUACAUUAGUUACAUGUUAAAGACAA